AGUGAACGCUGGCGGUAGGCCUAACACAUGCAAGUCGAACGGCAGCACAGUAAGAGCUUGCUCUUACGGGUGGCGAGUGGCGGACGGGUGAGGAAUACAUCGGAAUCUACUUUUUCGUGGGGGAUAACGUAGGGAAACUUACGCUAAUACCGCAUACGACCUACGGGUGAAAGCAGGGGAUCUUCGGACCUUGCGCGAUUGAAUGAGCCGAUGUCGGAUUAGCUAGUUGGCGGGGUAAAGGCCCACCAAGGCGACGAUCCGUAGCUGGUCUGAGAGGAUGGACAGCCACACUGGAACUGAGAAACGGUCCAGACUCCUACGGGGAGACACAGUGGGGAAUAUUAGGCGAUGGGGGAAAGCCGGAUCCAGCCAUACCGCGUGGGGGAAGAAGGCCUUCGGGUUGUAAAGCCCUUUUGUUGGGAAAGAAAAGCAGCAGGUUAAUACCCCGCUGUUCUGACGGUACCCAAAGAAUAAGCACCGGCUAACUUCGUG
rnacentral:rRNA from 1 species